rnacentral:rRNA from 1 species
UACAGAGGGUGCGAGCGUUGUUCGGAAUUACUGGGCGUAAAGCGUGCGCAGGCGGUUAUGCAAGACAGAGGUGAAAUCCCCGGGCUCAACCUGGGAACUGCCUUUGUGACUGCAUAGCUAGAGUACGGUAGAGGGGGAUGGAAUUCCGCGUGUAGCAGUGAAAUGCGUAGAUAUGCGGAGGAACACCGAUGGCGAAGGCAAUCCCCUGGACCUGUACUGACGCUCAUGCACGAAAGCGUGGGGAGCAAACAGG